rnacentral:rRNA from 1 species
UACAGAGGGUGCGAGCGUUAAUCGGAAUUACUGGGCGUAAAGCGCGCGUAGGCGGCUUUGCAAGUCGGGUGUGAAAUCCCCAGGCUUAACCUGGGAACUGCAUUCGAGACUGCAUUGCUAGAGUAUGGGAGAGGGAAGUGGAAUUUCCGGUGUAGCGGUGAAAUGCGUAGAUAUCGGAAGGAACAUCAGUGGCGAAGGCGACUCUUUGGCCUGUAACUGACGCUGAGGCGCGAAAGCGUGGGGAGCAAACAGG